UUAUACGAUGAAGAGUUUGAUCCUGGCUCAGGAUGAACGCUAGCGGCAGGCCUAACACAUGCAAGUCGAGGGGUAGAGGGUGCUUGCACCCUUGAGACCGGCGCACGGGUGCGUAACGCGUAUGCAACCUACCUAUUGCAGGGGAAUAGCCCAGGGAAACUUGGAUUAAUGCCCCAUAGUCCAUAUUGAGAGCAUUUGAGAUAUGGUAAAGAUUUAUCGGCAAUAGAUGGGCAUGCGUCCCAUUAGCUAGUUGGUAUGGUAACGGCAUACCAAGGCUACGAUGGGUAGGGGCCCUGAGAGGGGGAU
rnacentral:rRNA from 1 species